rnacentral:rRNA from 1 species
CCUACGGGAGGCAGCAGUGGGGAAUCUUGCGCAAUGGGCGAAAGCCUGACGCAGCCAUGCCGCGUGUAUGAUGAAGGUCUUAGGAUUGUAAAAUACUUUCACCGGUGAAGAUAAUGACUGUAGCCGGAGAAGAAGCCCCGGCUAACUUCGUGCCAGCAGCCGCGGUAAUACGAAGGGGGCUAGCGUUGCUCGGAAUUACUGGGCGUAAAGGGAGCGUAGGCGGACAUUUAAGUCAGAGGUGAAAUCCCGGAGCUUAACUUCGGAACUGCCUUUGAUACUGGGUGUCUUGAGUGUGAGAGAGGUAUGUGGAACUCCGAGUGUAGAGGUGAAAUUCGUAGAUAUUCGGAAGAACACCAGUGGCGAAGGCGACAUACUGGCUCAUUACUGACGCUGAGGCUCGAAAGCGUGGGGAGCAAACAGGAUUAGAUACCCUGGUAGUCCACGCCGUAAACGAUGAUUGCUAGUUGUCGGGAAGCUUGCUUCUCGGUGACGCNGCUACGACAUAGUACACUCCGCCGUCGGGAGGUACGGUCGCGAGAAGUUAAACGUUAAAGUAAAGUUAGUUAGGUACGUUGAGAGUUGCGACGGACGACGACGAGGGAGGAGG